UACGAGGGGUGCAAGCGUUAUCCGGAAUUAUUGGGCGUAAAGAGUACGUAGGUGGCUGCGUAAGCGCAAGGUAAAAGACCGAGGCUCGACUUCGGUGAGCCUUGUGAACUGCGUGGCUUGAGUGCAGGAGAGGAAAGCGGAAUUCCUAGUGUAGCGGUGAAAUGCGUAGAUAUUAGGAGGAACAUCAGUGGCGAAGGCGGCUUUCUGGACUGUAACUGACGCUGAGGCGCGAAAGCGUGGGUAGCAAACA
rnacentral:rRNA from 1 species